rnacentral:lncRNA from 1 species
GGGCAAGAAGAACAACGGAAAUAACGGAAAUAACCGCAAUAACCGAAAUAACAAAAAUAACGGAAAUAAUAAAGAAAAUAACGGAAAUAACCUCCACAGAGACAGAAAAAGAUGGCAGAAAAUUAAAUGACAGGUCAAGAACAACAACGGAAAUAAAUGAAAUAAUGGAAAAAACGGAAAUAACGGAAAUAACGGAAAUAACGGAAAUAACGGAAAUAUACGGCAGAAAAUUAGGUGACGUGAAGAACAACAACGGAAAUAACAGAAAAAAACGAAAUAACGAAAAUAAUAACAGAAAUAACAAAAAUAAUAACGGAAAUAACAAAAAUAAUAACGCAAAUAAGAACGGAAAUAAGAGCAGAAAUAAUGGAAAUAAUAACGGAAAUAAUAACCUAAAUAACGGAAAUAACGGAAAUAACAAAAAUAACCACCGAAAGACAGAAACAUACGGGAAAAAAUUAAAUGACAGGUCUAGAACAACAACGGAAAUAACAGAAAUAACGGAAAUAACAAAAAUAACAGAAAUAACGAAAAGAACGGAAAGAACAGAAAGUACGGAAAGAAUAGAAAGAACGGAAA